rnacentral:rRNA from 1 species
CGGUAAUUCCAGCUCCAAUAGCGUAUACUAAAGUUGUUGCAGUUAAAAAGCUCGUAGUUGGAUUUCUGCGGGGACGGAGCGGCCGGUCGCAACUUGCGACUCGAGCUAGCGCUUUCCCCGCAUCCUGCCGCGAACCGUGCUACCAUUAGUUUGGUGGCGCUGGGGAUCGGCUCGAUUACUUUGAGAAAAAUAGAGUGUUCAAAGCAGGCCACACGCCUUGAAUAAGUUAGCAUGGAAUAAUGACUAAGGACUUUGGUUCUUUUCGUUGGUGUUCGGGACUGAAGUAAUGAUUGAUAGGGACAGUUGGGGCGGUCCGUAUUCCAAAGCGAGAGGUGAAAUUCUUAGACCUUCGGAAGACGAACAGCUGCGAAAGCGUUCCGCAAGGAUGUUCCCUUUGAUCAAGAACGAAAGUUGGGGGAUCGAAGACGAUCAGAUACCGUCGUAGUCUCAACUAUAAACUAUACCAGCUAGGGAUCGGCCAACGUUUAAUUAUUCGACUUGGUCGGCACCUUAUGAGAAAUCAAAGCAUCUGGGUUCCGGGGGGAGUAUGGUCGCAAGGCUGAAACUUAAAGGAAUUGACGGAAGGGCACCACCAGCCGUGGAGCCUGUGGCUUAAUUUGACUCAACACGGGAAAACCUACCAGGUCCGGACAUAGUAAGGAUUGACAGAUUGAUAGCUCUUUCUUGAUUCUGUGGGUGGUGGUGCAUGGCCGUUUUUAGUCGGUGGAUGUGAUCUGUCUGCUUAAUUGCGUUAACGGACGAGACCCCAGCCUGCUAAAUAGCGCGGCCGAGCUUUGCUCGGUGCGAGCUUCUUAGAGGGACCAUGAUGCGCGAUAGCACAAGGAAGUUUGGGGCAACAACAGGUCUGUGAUGCCCUUAGAUGUUCUGGGCCGCACACGGGCUACACUGGCGCCUGCAACGAGCAUAUCAGCUGGCCCGAGAGGGUCUUGGCUAAUCUUUGGAACCGGCGCCGUGCUUGGGAUUGACCAUUGCAAUUGUUGGUCAUGCAACGAGGAAUGCCUUGUAAACGCGAGUCAUCAGAUCGCAUUGAAUACGUCCCUGCCCUUUGUACACACCGCCCGUCGCUCCUACCGAUGAAUGUUCCGAUGAAAUUUUCGGAGAGCGCCGGAGAACGGGGCUCCGCCCUGCAGAACUGGAGGCUCAAAGUCACUUAAAUCUGAACAUUUCGAGGAAGGAGAAGUCGUAACAAGGUUUCCGUAGGUGAACCUGCAGAAGGAUCA